UGAAACAACAGGGCCUAUUGGAGCCCACAA
rnacentral:sRNA from 1 species